GACGAACGCUGGCGGCGUGCUUAACACAUGCAAGUCGAACGAAGUGGAGAACGGUUGAGUAAUACGUGGGUAACCGGCCCUACUUUUUGGAAUAAGCCUGGGAAACGGGGUCUAAUACGGAAUAAAGGGUGAUGGACGGGCGGUCUAUGAGCUUGUGGGGGGGGUGAUGGUCUACCAAGGCGGUGACGGGUAGCCGGCCUGAGAGUGUGACUGGGAAUGUGGUGACUGAGAUACGGCCCCGAGUCACACGGGAGGCAGCAGUGGGGGAAAGGGCACAAUGCGCGAAAGCCAGAUGCACGGAAGCGACGAGGGGGUUGAAGGCUUAAGGGUUGUAAACCUGUGGCGCUAACGAACCGGUAGGUGAACAGGAAGCGCCGGCUAACUACGUGCCAGCAGCCGCGGUAAUAC
rnacentral:rRNA from 1 species